rnacentral:misc_RNA from 1 species
GAUGAAGAACGUAGCGAAAUGCGAUAACUAAUGUGAAUUGCAGAAUUCAGUGAAUCAUCGAGUCUUUGAACGCACAUUGCGCCCCCUGGUAUUCCGGGGGGCAUGCCUGUCCGAGCGUCAUUGCUGCCCUCAAGCACGGCUUGUGUGUUGGGCUCCGUCCCCCCGGGGACGGGCCCGAAAGGCAGCGGCGGCACCGAGUCCGGUCCUCGAGCGUAUGGGGCUUUGUCACCCGCUCUGUAGGCCCGGCCGGCGCCAGCCGACAACCCAUCAUCCUUGUCAGGUUGACCUCGGAUCAGGUAGGGAUACCCGCUGAACUUAAGCAUAUCAAUAAGCGGAGGA